rnacentral:rRNA from 1 species
GAUGAACGCUGGCGGCGUGCCUAAUACAUGCAAGUCGAGCGAACAGACGAGGAGCUUGCUCCUCUGACGUUAGCGGCGGACGGGUGAGUAACACGUGGAUAACCUACCUAUAAGACUGGGAUAACUUCGGGAAACCGGAGCUAAUACCGGAUAAUAUAUUGAACCGCAUGGUUCAAUAGUGAAAGACGGUUUUGCUGUCACUUAUAGAUGGAUCCGCGCCGCAUUAGCUAGUUGGUAAGGUAACGGCUUACCAAGGCAACGAUGCGUAGCCGACCUGAGAGGGAGAUGGGCCAAAAGGAGAGUGAGAGACGGACGAGACUAAGACGGGAGGGAGCAGUAGGGAGUGUUCAGGAAUGGGCGAAAUAUUGACGGAGCAAAGUAGCGGGAGUGAUGAAGGGUGUCGGAUAGUAAAAAUCUGUGAUCAGGGAAGAAAAAAAGGGUAAGUAACUAUGAACGUCUUGACGGUACAGAAUCAGAAAGACAAGGACAACUACGUG